rnacentral:rRNA from 1 species
CCGCGGUAAUACGGGGGGCGCAAGCGUUGCUCGGAAUCACUGGGCGUAAAGCGUACGCAGGCGGCGCGUUAAGUCGGGUGUGAAAGCCCGGGGCUCAACCUGGGAACUGCAUCCGAUACUGGAUGGCUUGAAUCCGGGAGAGGGAUGCAGAAUUCCAGGUGUAGCGGUGAAAUGCGUAGAUAUCUGGAGGAAUACCGGUGGCGAAGGCGGCAUCCUGGACCGGCAUUGACGCUGAGGAGCGAAAGCCAGGGGAGCAAACGGG